AACGCAUAUUGCGCUCUUUGGUAUUCCGAAGAGCAUGCUUGUUUGAGUAUCAGUAAACACCUCAAAAGCUUUCUUCUUUUUGAAGAGAGUUUUUGGACUUGAGCGAACCCAACGCCUGAUCUCGUCUUUUAUUAGAUGGGUGAGGUGGCGGGUUGCUUGAAAUGCAGGUGCAGCUGGACUUUUCUUCUGAGCUAAAAGCAUAUCUAUUUAGUCCCGUCAAACGGAUUAUUACUUUUGCUGCAGCUAACAUAAAGGAAGAUUAGACCGAUUUAGCUGACUGAAGCAGGAUUUCACAAAGCCGGAAACGGUUUUGUAAAACUCGAUCUCAAAUCAAGUAAGACUACCCGCUGAACUUAA
rnacentral:misc_RNA from 1 species